GGUUGAAAAUUAAUAUUUAUAUAUUAUAUAAACAUAUCUUAUUAAAUUUAAUUAUAAAUAUUAUUU
rnacentral:tRNA from 1 species